rnacentral:lncRNA from 1 species
GGUGACAGUGACACAGAGGUGACAGCCGCACCUGGUGCCGUUGACGCAGUCCCUCAGGGCGUGGAAGCGCAGGGUGUGGGGCAGCAGGGGGGGGUCCCCGGGCUCCGGUGGCCGCAGCGUGUCCCAAACGGUGACAAAGCCACCGCUGUCCCCGCUCACCAGGAACCGCCCGCUCCUGGGGGUCACCGGGAUCAGGGUGACACCGCGUCCCCGUCCCCUCCCCCACCCGGUCCCGUCCCGGUGUCACCCCGUCCUGGCCCAGGGACAACCCCGUCCCACCCUCGCUGUCACCCCGGCGUCACCCUGAUGUCACCCCGGUGUCACCCUGUCCCGUCCGCUAUCACCCAGUGUCACCCCACGGUUCCCAAUUGUCACCCUGCCGUCACCCCAUCCCUUCUUGUCACCCUGCUGUCACCCCAGUGUCACCCUGCCCCAUCCCACUGUCACCCCGGUGUCACCCUGUCCUGUCUUGCUGUCACCCAGUGUCACCCUGGUGUCACCUUACCCCGUGUCACCCCACAGUUCCCAAUUGUCACCCUGCCGCCACCCCAUCCCUUCUUGUCACCCCACUGUCACCCUGUGUCACCCUGCCCCAUCCCACUGUCACCCCAGUGUCAACUUAUCCUGUCUUGUUGUCACCCGCUGUCACCCUGGUGUCACCCUGGUGUCACCUUACCCCAUGCCACCCCACAGUUCCCAAUUGUCACCCUGCUGCCACCCCAUCCUUUCUUGUCACCUUGCUGUCACCCCAGUGUCACUCUGAUGUCACCUCACUGUCACCCUGUCCUGCCCUGCUGUCACCCAGUGUCACCCUGCCCCAUCCCUCUGUCACCCCAGUGUCACCCUGUCACCUUACCCCAUGUCACCCCACAGUUCCCAAUUGUCACCCUGCCGCCACCCCAUCCCUUCUUGUCACCAUGCUGUCACCCCAGUGUCACUCUGUCCUGCCCCGCUAUCAGCCCAGUGUCACCCUGAUGUCACCCCACUGUCACCCUGUGUCACCCUGCCCCAUCCCACUGUCACCCCAGUGUCAACUUAUCCUGUCUUGUUGUCACCCGCUGUCACCCUGGUGUCACCCUGGUGUCACCUUACCCCAUGCCACCCCACAGUUCCCAAUUGUCACCCUGCUGCCAC